AUUUGUAUAUUUUAUUCAAAUUAUCGUUACACUGUCAUACUAUUAUCUAAAUUACGGUAACAAUGGCAUUAACGUGGAUAAUUGCCUAAGUUGCGGUAUAGAAUGUCUAUUACUAUCUUCGAAGUAUGCUCUCAUUAUUAAAUUGAAACAUACGCGAUCGAUAAGAUUUUGCGCGACAGCGAUUUCUUUCCGACUUCUACCACUGUUUCGUAAUUUAUUCGCUAUGUGUUCCCCGUAAACUAAAAAUUCAUCUCGUUCUGUACUAAUUUCUGUCUUUAUACGUUUUAUAGUUUCCCUCUCAUUGCCGAUGUUAUUCUUAACGCAAUUUAUUUUCGGUUUUAGAAAUGGGAACCUGGAUUUCUCAAGUGCCGUGCUCAUACCUGGAUUUUCUCUGUAGACUGCUUUUACGGAGAAAGAGUCGAGGAAGAAGAGGCUUGUGACGGAAGAGGAGUAGGAAGAGAUAACGCAUAUUUUAUUCUUGAAAAAUUAAGCGAAUUCCUUUAUCUUUCUAGAUACACACAAAAAGUAAUUAAUCGCGUUUAAAAUCCUUCGGGAAGAUAAAUAUCCCCAAACGUUAAAUUCUACUUAUUCCUUCCUUA